rnacentral:rRNA from 1 species
UACAGAGGUCUCAAGCGUUGUUCGGAUUCAUUGGGCGUAAAGGGUGCGUAGGCGGUGAGGUAAGUCAGGUGUGAAAUCCCGGGGCUCAACUCCGGAACUGCAUUUGAUACUGCCUUGCUAGAGUACUGGAGAGGAGAUUGGAAUUUACGGUGUAGCAGUGAAAUGCGUAGAUAUCGUAAGGAAGACCAGUGGCGAAGGCGAAUCUCUGGACAGUUACUGACGCUGAGGCACGAAGGCCAGGGGAGCAAACGGG